AUGCUUUUUUCUAUCAGUCCCAAGCGGAUACUCCCCAGCUUCCAUGGUCCGCUUACCGAGGAAGAGAUGCGGGAGGACCCAGGGCUAGAGCAAGUUGGGUUGGGGUAUAGAGCCGUAAGCGCGGUGGGGGUGACAGAGGAUGUGCUCGUACGGUUCAUAGUUGGGUAUGAUAUUCUCGUGGAUUGUUGGGAACGUCCUCUGUAUUCGAAAUAUGCCUUUAUAGGAGCAUUACAAUCUGCAGCUCAAAUGAUCCCUUAUGAAGUCUCUAUUGGUCUUAUUCUUAUUGUGCACCUUGUGAGCACGUUUGGAUCCGCGAAGGCAACCGCUCGGAUCUUCCCCUAA
rnacentral:rRNA from 1 species